rnacentral:rRNA from 1 species
CGAGGAAUAUUGGACAAUGGAUGGAAAUCUGAUCCAGCCAUGCCGCGUGCAGGAAGACGGCCCUAUGGGUUGUAAACUGCUUUUGUAUGGGAGCAAUAAGAUCUACGUGUAGAUUGAUGAGAGUACCAUACGAAUAAGCGCCGGCUAACUCCGUGCCAGCAGCCGCGGUAAUACGGAGGGUGCAAGCGUUAUCCGGAUUUAUUGGGUUUAAAGGGUGCGUAGGCGGUUUGAUAAGUCAGCGGUGAAAUAUUUCAGCUUAACUGGAAGGGUGCCGUUGAUACUGUCGAGCUUGAAUUUAGUUGCUGUGGGUGGAAUGUGUGGUGUAGCGGUGAAAUGCAUAGAUAUCACACAGAAUAUCGAUUGCGAAGGCAGCUCACAAAGCUAAUAUUGACGCUGAUGCACGAAAGUGUGGGGAUCAAACAG